AGAGCCCCAGAGGCAGAGCUGCCCAAGGCUUUGGGAGCCCACCCCUUGCAUCACUGUGCCCUGGAUGUGAGACGUGGAAUCAAGGAGAUUAUUUUGGAGCUUUAAGAUGUAAUGGCACCCUGCUGGGUUUCAGACUUGAGUGGAGCCUGCAGCCUCUUUCUUUCAGCCGAUUUCUCCCUUUUGGGACGGAAGUAUUUACCCAAUGCCUGUACCCCCAUGACGUGCCCGUGUCCCCUUCCUCCACCACAAGAUUGUAAGUUUUCUGGAGCCUCCCCAGAAGCUGAGAAGAAGCUGCUAUGCUUCCUGUUCAGCUUGCAGAACCGCCACUUCCAGCAUCGAUGGUGUCAGGUCAGGUCCUCUGGGUAGAAGAAAUGGAGUCAGUUAGGAGUGCUGGAGACUGAGUAAGAGGUGGCAGCUGAGGCUUACUACCCCAGGAAAGGGAUGCCACCAGAGAAGGCAGACAACCAAGAUGGCGACUCUCAAUUUUUGAGC
rnacentral:lncRNA from 1 species